rnacentral:lncRNA from 1 species
UUUGCAACUAAACUUUUCACGAUAUUGAUCCAAUAUGUGCUAAAGGGCAACAAGCGAAUUUUACUUAUAGUAAAUAUAGUAUUUUGGGGUUGGAAUUUUUGUUUCCGUAUCUGAUUACACCGGAAGUGUCGAAAUCCUCAAACGAUUGCAUGAUCAUUUUCCUAGAAAAUCCUGAAUAAAGUUAAUUCGUUGUCUAUCUCACUGUGGUUAUUUCAAAAUUGUGCCUUCUGAAAAAAUUAAGGUUAAGGGGAACGAAAAGCGAAAUGAUUUCAGUCCACUCAUUUACAAUGCACUGGAAGGCAACAGGAAAGCUAAUGCUGCGAGCUGAAAAUGCAACGAUUUACUGAGGAAAGGAAGUAAAGCUAACAGUUAAGAGAGACGAAGGACUGUGAACCAUGAGCGGAAGACAAGAAAAUGGAAGAAAUUGGAUGAUAACACUUAUUCUUCUGCAAUUUAUGAAUCGAGGGUAAAUUUCCAUAUCAAAGAGAAAUAUAAAAUUAAUACGAAUAAACACGUUAAAUUGAA